AUGCGCCUUGCCAGCCCGCUCAGAAACUCAAAGGAAUUGACGGGGGCCCGCACAAGCGGAGGAACAUGUGGUUUAAUUCGAUGAUACGCGAGGAACCUUACCUGGGCUUAAAUGGGGAGUGACAGCUGUCGAAAGAUGGUUUUCUUCGGACACUCUUCAAGGUGCUGCAUGGUUGUCGUCAGCUCGUGCCGUGAGAUGUUGGGUUAAGUCCCGUAACGAGCGCAACCCUUGUCCUUAGUUACCAGCACGUUAUGGUGGGCACUCUAAGGAGACUGCCGGUGACAAACCGGAGGAAGGUGGGGAUGACGUCAAGUCAUCAUGGCCCUUACGGCCUGGGCUACACACGUGCUACAAUGGUCGGUACAAAGGGUUGCCAAGCCGCGAGGUGGAGCUAAUCCCAUAAAACCGAUCGUAGUCCGGAUCGCAGUCUGCAACUCGACUGCGUGAAGUCGGAAUCGCUAGUAAUCGUGAAUCAGAAUGUCACGGUGAAUACGUUCCCGGGCCUU
rnacentral:rRNA from 1 species